UUGGGCGUAAAGGGUACGUAGGUGGUUCAUUAAGUUAUGUGGGAAAUACCUGGGCUUAACCUGGGAAUGUCGGAUAAUACUAGUGAACUUGAGUAUAGUAGAGGGUAGUGGAAUUUCCGGUGUAGCGGUGAAAUGCGUAGAGAUCGGAAGGAACACCAGUGGCGAAGGCGGCUACCUGGACUAAUACUGACACUGAGGUACGAAAGCGUGGGUAGCAAACAGGAUUAGAUACCCUGGUAGUCCACGCUGUAAACGAUGUCAACUAGCUGUUGGACACAUAAUUGUGUUUAGUGGCGUAGCUAACGCGCUAAGUUGACCGCCUGGGGAGUACGGUCGCAAGAUUAAAACUCAAAGAAAUUGACGGGGGCCCGCACAAGCGGUGGAGCAUGUGGUUUAAUUCGAAGCAACGCGCAGAACCUUACCCACCUUUGACAUCCUGUGACAGCUCCAGAGAUGGAGUUUUCUUCGGACACAGUGACAGGUGCUGCAUGGCU
rnacentral:rRNA from 1 species